ensembl:snoRNA
UGGAGGACUGAGAAGGUUCAGCAGCUUGCGUUGUGCUGCUGUAACUGGUUAAAACCUCCAAGAGUAACAAACAAACAAACCACCAGAUUUAUCGGCUCUGUCAUAAACAGAGUUGAGUGUGUGUGUUUGUGAACAAAAC